rnacentral:tRNA from 2 species
GGAGAUGUACCCAAGUGGCUGAAGGGUCCGCACUCGAAAUGCGGUAGGUCGGGCAACCGGCGCGAGGGUUCAAAUCCCUCCAUCUCCGC